rnacentral:rRNA from 1 species
UACGUAGGGGGCAAGCGUUGUCCGGAAUUAUUGGGCGUAAAGCGCGCGCAGGCGGCCUUGUAAGUCUGUUGUUUAAACUUGGGGCUCAACCCCAAGUCGCAAUGGAAACUGCAAAGCUUGAGUGCAGAAGAGGAAAGUGGAAUUCCACGUGUAGCGGUGAAAUUCGUAGAUAUUGGGAAGAACACCGGUGGCGAAGGCGGCUCACUGGCUCGUAACUGACGCUCAUGCACGACAGCGUGGGGAUCAAACAGG